rnacentral:rRNA from 1 species
GACGGAGGAUGCAAGCGUUAUCCGGAAUGAUUGGGCGUAAAGCGUCCGCAGGUGGCAGUUCAAGUCUGCUGUCAAAGACCGGGGCUUAACUUCGGAAAGGCAGUGGAAACUGAACAGCUAGAGUAUGGUAGGGGCAGAGGGAAUUCCUGGUGUAGCGGUGAAAUGCGUAGAGAUCAGGAAGAACAUCGGUGGCGAAGGCGGCCUGCUGGGCAGUUUAGCUGACACUGAGGCGCGACAGCGUGGGGAGCAAACAGG